AUGGGAUACAUAAUUGACUGGCUGAAGAAGGCAAGGAUAAUGGGAACGGGCAGAACCAUCGCACUAACUGAUAUGCUUCGUCUGGGCUGCAGUUUAAUGUGUAGUUGUUGCGCAUUGCAGUUCAUGUUCCGGGUGCUACUCAUAGAUUGCUGGUCCCCGUACAUUCUUGACAUAGAGAAGAAGGAAUUUAUGGUGCUCAAUCCAACUGAGACUGAUCCAGCAGAUGAGAUGAACAGGAAGCACAAGGCUUUGGCAAGGAAAUUCCAGCUCAGAUUAUGCCACCGUUUUAAUGACAUGAUUGGUGCUGGCUUGGUCGAGACUAUUGGGUGGACCUUUAUGUACCUCUUAGUGGGGCAGCAUGAACCAUGUACAAGGAGCAGCUAG
rnacentral:rRNA from 1 species